rnacentral:rRNA from 1 species
GAUGAACGCUGGCUACAGGCUUAACACAUGCAAGUCGAGGGGAAACGACGGGGAAGCUUGCUUCCCCGGGCGUCGACCGGCGCACGGGUGAGUAACGCGUAUCCAACCUGCCUCUGACUGAGGGAUAACCCGUCGAAAGUCGGCCUAAUACCUCAUGGUAUCGUCUGCGGGCAUUCAACGACGAUUAAAGAUUUCAUCGGUCAGGGAUGGGGAUGCGUCUGAUUAGCUUGUUGGCGGGGUAACGGCCCACCAAGGCUACGAUCAGUAGGGGUUCUGAGAGGAAGGUCCCCCACAUUGGAACUGAGACACGGUCCAAACUCCUACGGGAGGCAGCAGUGAGGAAUAUUGGUCAAUGGGCGAGAGCCUGAACCAGCCAAGUAGCGUGCAGGAAGACGGCCCUAUGGGUUGUAAACUGCUUUUAUGCGGGGAUAAAGUGAGGGACGUGUCCCUCAUUGCAGGUACCGCAUGAAUAAGGACCGGCUAAUUCCGUG